UACGUAGGGCGCAAGCGUUAUCCGGAAUUAUUGGGCGUAAAGAGCUCGUAGGCGGUUUGUCGCGUCUGCCGUGAAAGUCCGGGGCUCAACUCCGGAUCUGCGGUGGGUACGGGCAGACUAGAGUGUGGUAGGGGAGACUGGAAUUCCUGGUGUAGCGGUGAAAUGCGCAGAUAUCAGGAGGAACACCGAUGGCGAAGGCAGGUCUCUGGGCAGUAACUGACGCUGAGGAGCGAAAGCGUGGGGAGCGAACAGG
rnacentral:rRNA from 1 species